rnacentral:rRNA from 1 species
GGGUCAGUAGGUUGGUCGUGCCACCGGUACGUACUGGUCACACUGAUUCCUCCUUCCUGAGGAACCGUAAUGCCAUUAAUUUGGUGUUGCGGGGAAACAGGACUGUUACUUUGAAAAAAUUAGAGUGUUUAAAGCAAGCUAACGCUUGAAUACAUUAGCAUGGAAUAAUGAAAUAGGACGAUCGAUCCUAUUUUGUUGGUUUCUAGGAUUGACGUA